rnacentral:rRNA from 1 species
UACGUAGGGACCAAGCGUUGUUCGGAUUUACUGGGCGUAAAGGGCGCGUAGGCGGCAUGACAAGUCACUUGUGAAAUCUCCGGGCUUAACUCGGAACGGUCAACUGAUACUGCGCGGCUAGAGUGCAGAAGGGGCAACUGGAAUUCUCGGUGUAGCGGUGAAAUGCGUAGAUAUCGAGAGGAACACCUGCGGCGAAGGCGGGUUGCUGGGCUGACACUGACGCUGAUGCGCGAAAGCCAGGGGAGCGAACGGG